UACGGAGGGGGCUAGCGUUGUUCGGAAUUACUGGGCGUAAAGGGCGCGUAGGCGGCUCUUCAAGUCAGACGUGAAAGGCCUGGGCUCAACCCGGGAACUGCGUUUGAGACUGGGGAGCUGGAGUCCGGGAGAGGUGAGCGGAAUUCCCAGUGUAGAGGUGAAAUUCGUAGAUAUUGGGAAGAACACCAGUGGCGAAGGCGGCUCACUGGACCGGUACUGACGCUGAGGCGCGAAAGCGUGGGGAGCAAACAGG
rnacentral:misc_RNA from 1 species